rnacentral:rRNA from 1 species
AAUCAACGCUGGCGGCGUGCCUCAGACAUGCAAGUCGAACGAUUAAACUUUCCUUCGGGAAAGAUAUAAAGUGGCGCACGGGUGAGUAACACGUAGGUAAUGUACCUUUGGGUGGGGAAUAACUAUCGGAAACGAUGGCUAAUACCGCAUAAUGCAGCGGCAUCGCAAGAUGACAGUUGUUAAAGCGAGCAAUCGCGCCUAAGGAGCAGCCUGCGGCAGAUUAGGAGUUGGUAAGGUAAUGGCUUACCAAGCCUGCGAUCUGUAACCGACCUGAGAGGGUGGUCGGUCACACUGACACUGAAUAACGGGUCAGACUCCUACGGGAGGCAGCAGUCGGGAAUUUUGGGCAAUGGGCGAAAGCCUGACCCAGCAACGCCGCGUGAAGGACGAAGUCUUUCGGGGAUGUAAACUUACGUAAGAAUAGGAAGAAUAAAUGACGGUACUAUUU